rnacentral:rRNA from 1 species
UGACNNCAAAUCGGGUGAGACUACCCGCUGAACUUAAGCAUAUCAAUAAGCGGAGGA